UUGCUUCCUCAGUGCCAGGAUGUCCUCUGCCAUCUUCUGCAUGGCACGCCGGUAGUUGUCCAUCUCCUAUGAUCCCAGAAUCCUCAGCUGAACCCUUACCCCAUGCCCAGCCCCCAGUAUCCCAUUCUAUGUCUGUACUCACAGUAAACCACUCCCAACUCAAUGAGCAACGUCAGCCUUGGCCUGUGCCCUAAGCCUUAGCGAGUGUCCAGAAGAGUGGUUGGGCGUGGUCUCCAUCUUUCCUGGCAGCAUUAGGCCAGCCACACUAAUGUGCCUCCUCAGGGACCACAAUGAUUCAUAUGACACCAGGGGUUCCUAGGGUUCAGCAAUCAGGUAAAGAAGCCUGCAGGCAACAUACUCAAAGUACGUUUGUGAGUAAGUCAUGUCUACGUCUUCACAUGUUCUCUCUUUCAGCUCCCUCUUCUAACCCAGCUCCUUUCCAGAAGAGCAUCUUAGACUGCCCACUGAAGUCACUGGGGAGCUGACCUACCAUCAGCUUCCCAAACAGCCCAGCAUCCAAGAAGAGACAUCAAGUAGACCCUGGAGACUCAGCCAGCACACGUCCCUUCUCCAGACGACCCAGCUGUCCUUCCAAGACCUGCCCUGGCUGUGACGGGUGCCCUCUGCUGAGAAUCAUCCACAGAAGCCAGUGAGGUACAGUGACUUGCCUGAAGUCACACAGCAAUUCUUGAACCUCAGCUGGGUCCUUUGUCAGCUCUAGGGCAGAUUAUGGGCCCAAGGCAAGGGGUAGGGCUCGGAACAAGACUUAUAGUGAUGCUAGCUCAACUUCUCCCACAGCUAAAGACACUUGAAGCUGAGCGUUGUGCACACAGGGCAGCUGGGAAGGAAGGGGAGAGGUUAAAGUGUUGCCCCUCUCCCACACAUACCCAAAUCUUUGCAAAGAGAAAAGCCUUCUACCCAACUAGCACAUUCCAUGAAUACUUAGCCCAGAUGGAAACCCAGAGGUCCCACGAACAGGAGCUCUCGCCUAACCCUUAACCCUGAACUCAAGUCUAAGACUAAUAAGGGCUUUGCAUGGUCAGGUUCUGGCCUAGUUCCCCCUGGUUGUAACCAGUCCAAAGGCGAGGCCAUUCCACUCUCCUCCCUGAGGAAUAAGCUGGCCCAGAGAAGGAAGGGCUGGAUGGUCUUUUGCUUCAUCCUGAGGGGCACAGGUACAACUGGACGUCUAUGAAAACAGUCUUCUGUGGAACUCAAGGAGUGAGGCCUGGCUGGAGAAGACUGAGUGCUAUCGUGCCCGACUCUCUCCGGCUAACCACAGUGUCUCUUGAUUCCUGGUCACCUACUCUGCUCUACACCGGCAGCUCCUCCAGGAACUCCCUCCUGCUUUCUGUUCUCUAUAACUGGGAACCUUCCUUCCUGGUGGAGCAACAUGAUGCUUCCUCUCAUGGAAAGCCCAUUGUUUACCCAGAGAGAAGCCCAGCUAACCGGGGAAGAAGGAGCCGUGAUAACAGCUUCCAAGUCAUUCCCACUGAGGACGCAUUUGAAGCUUCACCUGCUCUGACCAGCAGCCACCCCUGACCCAUACCCAGUGUGGCACUGCUGACUACCAGGGACCCCUCCCCGCAGCAGCUACUCAGAGGCCUGAUGAUAGACUUCCCUGCUGUCUACCAGGGACCCCUCCCCGCAGCAGCUACUCAGAGGCCUGAUGAUAGACUUCCCUGCUGACUACCAGGGACCCCUCCCCGCAGCAGCUACUCGGAGGCCUGAUAGACUUCCCUGCCUUUCUGCCUCUCUUAGGUAGCCACCGCUCCUGUCACCUUUGUCAUUUUGAUGGGUCCCAUGGGUCCCUCAGAGACCUUUCUUGCUAACUUUGUACUUUUAGUACUUUAAAAAGGAAUGAGUUCAACUUCUUGAAAUAAAAUGGGAUCCUUCAGCUUGUGCAAA